AUCUUUAUCCAGGCUGGUCUUGAACUCUUGAGCUCAAGUGAUCCAACCACACUGGCCUCCCACAGUGCUGGGAUUAUGAAUAUUUUUAAAUUAAUAGAAACAUCCUAGAGUCAGUGUAAGAAUUGAAAUAAGAAAUCGCAUUCUCUCAGGCAGCCUAAGAAAGGGAGUCUGGCUCUUUUGGUGUCUCCAAGCACAGAGGUGUGAUGUAGACUCAGGAAUUUUUGCAAGUCUAUUUUGAUCAUGAGAAACCUUGCCUUGGGCCGUGGACUGUGGCUCAAGCCUGUGAUCCCAGCACUUUGGAAGGUCGAGGUGGGUGGAUCUCUUUAAGCCCGGGAGUUCGAGAUCAGCCUGGCCAACAUGGCAAUACCUGUCCAAAAAAAAAAAAAAAGAAAGAAAAAGAAAAAGAAACCUUAUCCUGGUCCUUCUUUUGUUUGCUUCCUUCAGAGACUGGUUCUUCCUUUUACUGUUGCUUAAAUGAGAGUCUGGUUUUAUUUCCUGAUUUUAUCUCUAUUUGUUCUUUUCUUGGGAUUCAAUGGGCUUAGAAUCAGAGGAAACUAGGAAGUGAAUGAAAGCAAACA
rnacentral:lncRNA from 1 species